rnacentral:rRNA from 1 species
GUUGUUGGGUAGGGGAGCGUUCUGUAAGCUGUUGAAGGUGGCCUGUGAGGGUUGCUGGAGGUAUCAGAAGUGCGAAUGCUGACAUAAGUAACGAUAAUGCGGGUGAAAAACCCGCACGCCGGAAGACCAAGGGUUCCUGUCCAACGUUAAUCGGGGCAGGGUGAGUCGACCCCUAAGGCGAGGCCGAAAGGCGUAGUCGAUGGGAAACAGGUUAAUAUUCCUGUACUUGGUGUUACUGCGAAGGGGGGACGGAGAAGGCUAUGUUGGCCGGGCGACGGUUGUCCCGGUUUAAGCAUGUAGGCGGAUGUUCCAGGUAAAUCCGGAACGUCACUAACGCUGAGGUGUGAUGACGAGGCACUACGGUGCUGAAGUGACAAAUGCCCUGCUUCCAGGAAAAGCCUCUAAGCAUCAGGUAACAUCAAAUCGUACCCCAAACCGACACAGGUGGUCAGGUAGAGAAUACCAAGGCGCUUGAGAGAACUCGGGUGAAGGAACUAGGCAAAAUGGUGCCGUAACUUCGGGAGAAGGCACGCUGAUGGUAAGUGAAGUGACUUGCUCAUGGAGCUGAAAUCAGUCGAAGAUACCAGCUGGCUGCAACUGUUUAUUAAAAACACAGCACUGUGCAAACACGAAAGUGGACGUAUACGGUGUGACGCCUGCCCGGUGCCGGAAGGUUAAUUGAUGGGGUUAUCCUCGCGGAGAAGCUCUUGAUCGAAGCCCCGGUAAACGGCGGCCGUAACUAUAACGGUCCUAAGGUAGCGAAAUUCCUUGUCGGGUAAGUUCCGACCUGCACGAAUGGCGUAAUGAUGGCCAGGCUGUCUCCACCCGAGACUCAGUGAAAUUGAACUCGCUGUGAAGAUGCAGUGUACCCGCGGCAAGACGGAAAGACCCCGUGAACCUUUACUAUAGCUUGACACUGAACACUGGUCCUUGAUGUGUAGGAUAGGUGGGAGGCUUUGAAGUGUGGACGCCAGUCUGCAUGGAGCCAUCCUUGAAAUACCACCCUUUAAUGGCUGGUGUUCUAACGUGGGCCC